AGCAGCCGCGGUAAUUCCAGCUCCAAUAGCGUAUAUUAAAGUUGUUGCAGUUAAAAAGCUCGUAGUUGAAUUUCGGGAUCAGUACGCUGGUCGUGCCUUGGUAUGCACUGGUGUCACUGAUUCCUCCCUUCUGAAGAACCGUUAUGCCAUUUAUUUGGUGUGAUGGGGAAUCAGGACUGUUACUUUGAAAAAUUAGAGUGUUUAAAGCAGGCUCGCGCUUGAAUACAUUAGCAUGGAAUAAUGAAAUAGGACGUUUGAUCUUAUUUUGUUGGUUUCUAGGAUCGACGUAAUGAUUAAUAGGGAUAGUUGGGGGCAUUAGUAUUCAAUUGUCAGAGGUGAAAUUCUUGGAUUUAUUGAAGACUAACUACUGCGAAAGCAUUUGCCAAGGAUGUUUUCAUUAAUCAAGAACGAAAGUUAGGGGAUCGAAGACGAUCAGAUACCGUCGUAGUCUUAACCAUAAACUAUGCCGACUAGGGAUCGGAUGAUGUUAUUUUUAANGACUCACUC
rnacentral:rRNA from 1 species